rnacentral:rRNA from 1 species
AUUGAACGCUGGCGGCAGGCCUAACACAUGCAAGUCGAGCGAGCGGCGGACGGGUGCGUAAUGUCUGGGAAACUGCCUGAUGGAGGGGGAUAACAACUGGAAACGGUAGCUAAUACCACAUACCAUCAGAUGUGUCCAGAUGGGAUUAGCUAGUAGGGUGGUGAACGGCUCACCCAGGCGACGAUCCCUAGCUGGGCUGAGAGGAUGACCAGCCACACUGGAACUGAGACAAGGUCCAGACUCCUACGGGAGGCAGCAGUGGGGAAUAUUGCACAAUGGGCGCAAGCCUGAUGCAGCCAUGCCGCGUGUGUGAAGAAGGCCUUCGGGUUGUAAAGCACUUUCAGCGGGGAGGCGUUACCCGCAGAAGAAGCACCGGCUAACUCCGUGCCAGCCGCCGCGGUAAUUC